GUACUGUGGAGGGCUGUGAAAAUUAUCAAAGAAUUUGUAAAAAAUUAUACCUUUUGUAUCAGGGUAGAUUAAUAUGGUAUAAAAUUAUAAAUUUCGAAAUUAAUUGAGCUAAAGAAAGUUAAACCUAUUUGUAUCAAAAAAAGGUAAAAUUUUCUGUAGUAAUGAAAAUUUAAACGUAAUUAAUUAUAUCUAAUUAAAAAUGAGAUAAUAAAGUUAUAUAUUUAUAGAAGAAAAGCUUAAUUGGGUAAGUUGAUUAAGUGCAAAUAAGGUUUAUUAGUAUAAAGGCCUAAGCUUUAAAUUAGCUAUGACAAUAAUUUUUGUUAAAUAAUUUAGGUGAGGAUAAAUAUGUGAAUUUAAACCUAAUUUUUUAUUUUUUAAAAUGGUGAUUAAAAAAAUUAUAAUGAUUUAAUUAGUACUUUUGGUUGUUAAAAUAAAUUAACUAAAUUAAAUUUUGACUGUUUAUCAAAAACAUUUUUUUCUGGCAAAUAGAAAAUAUAGCCUGCCCGGUGAAAAUUUAACGGCUGCAGUAUUUUGACUGUGCUAAGGUAGCAUAAUAAAUUGUUUCUUAAUUGGAAACUGGAAUGAAGGGUUGAACAAUUUUUGAAGGUGUAGAAAUUAAUUAAUGAAUUUUUACUAUAAGUAAAAAUACUUAUAUAAUCUAAAGGGACGAUAAGACCCUAGAAGCUUCAAUUUUUAAUAAUAAAGAAUUAUUAUAAUAAAAAUUUUUAUUAAUAAAAAUUUUUGUUGGGGAAACAUAAAUUUUGCAAAUAAUUUACCUUUUUUCAUGUUAAAAUAAUUUAAGAUCUUUUAGAUAAAAAUGACUAGUAUAAGUUACUCUAGGGAUAACAGCGUAAUAAUUUUUGGAUAGGCCAUAUAUAUAAAAUUGAUUGCGACCUCGAUGUUGAAUUAAAAUAUCUCUAUAAAGUAGAAGUUAUAAGAGAGGGUUUGUUCAACCUUUAUAAUUUUACAUGAUUUGAGUUCAAACCGGUUUAAGCCAGGUUGGUUUCUAUCUUUUAAAAUUUAUGAAUUUUUUUAGUACGAAAGGACCGAAUAAUUUUAAUAUUU
rnacentral:rRNA from 1 species